GGAUUGAGUUUAAGGGUUAUUGCUCCAAGGGGGUUUCAAAAAGUUGUGGGUUUUUUUUUUUGUUUACCAUUUUUUGAAGGGCUUCCUUUUUUCAAAAUUUUUCAAAUUUCGAAUUUUGAAAAGUUUCAAGAAGAAAUCUUCAAUUGCACAGUAUUGUGCAAUAGAUUUGUUAGAUCUUUGACCACAUUAAUUUUGUGACAAAAACCUAUAUUAUGUAAAAAAUUUGAUCACAAUCCAAAUUCAGACAGAAUCAAGCUUGAAUAUUGUGACCAAAUUUGCCCCAACUGUUCAAGGUUCAACCACUGGGGUCGUAUAAAGCUGCGCCCUGGUUCCAUUUGUAAAGGGGCAUAACCCUAGAAUGGUAAUCAAAGUGCUUGUAAUCACUGAAUGGUAAAGAUUGCUUUAAUUUAUCAGUUGGUAGUAAAGUGAAUAUUGUCAUUUAUAUUGUAUAUAGCAUUGAUUUAAGUUGAUUCAACUACUAUUCUGGACAAAGAAAGAUAACUCCAAUUUUCAAAGAUUUCAUAAAGCAUUGGUUUUAGAUGAUUCAACAACCAUUCUGGACAAAAGAAAGAUAACUCCAAUUUAUUGUCUUGAAACUACAAAAAUGCUUGUUUUUGGCCCUUUAUUCCUAGACUGUUUGCCCCAUAACCCACAAAAUAUAUCCCAACCUUCUACUUAUGGUAUUAAACAUUGUGGUACAAUUUCAGAACAAUUGAAAUGCUUAUACACACCUUUUUGAACUGACACUAGAUAAAUGUUUGUGUUGGGCCCCUAAUUCCUAAACCUUAGGGACCAUAAGCCCCAAAAUCAAUCCCAAGCUUCCUUUUGUGGUUAUAAACAUUGUGUUAAAUUUUUUUCUAUUUCUAUUUACUAAUAAUAAAGUUAUUAUCUGGAAACCAUCCGUCUUCGGACGACGCUGACGACGACGUGAUACCAAUAUACGACCGCAAAAUUUUU
rnacentral:lncRNA from 1 species